rnacentral:lncRNA from 12 species
UAAGCAUGUGUAUACUUUCUAUUUUACCUUUCGCAGGAAUUCUCCUGCAGCACAGUAUCUCUAGCAGUGACUUGUCUAUUUGCCAAUUGGACGUUAAAGUAUUUCAGUGUUUGCAAGUCACGUACUGCUGGAAGGCAAAAAAUUUUUUGCAAAUUUUUGUAAGUUCUUGGACCAGUUAAAAAUAAUGAUAAGCAUUGCUUUUUGAAUUCGACUAAGGUUUCAAAAGUAUCCGACAUACUGUUCAGUGGUGAUGGUGAUGUAAUAAUGUCUUGUCCAUCUAAAAUAGUCUGUGGUAUUCUUUCAACUCUUACACCCUUAUCUGGAAUCAAAAAAGGCAAAUCACCUGUUUCCAAAGAAGAUGAAUCAGUAUUAGAUGUAUUGUUAAAAGGCAAUAAAUUUAUUAAAUCUUGAUAA